rnacentral:rRNA from 1 species
GAUGAACGCUGGCGGCGUGCCUAAUACAUGCAAGUCGAGCGAACGGACGAGAAGCUUGCUUCUCUGAUGUUAGCGGCGGACGGGUGAGUAACACGUGGAUAACCUACCUAUAAGACUGGGAUAACUUCGGGAAACCGUAGCUAAUACCUGAUAAUAUUUUGAACCGCAUGGUUCAAAAGUUAAAGACGGUCUUGCUGUCACUUAUAGAUGGAUCCGCGCUGCAUUAGCUAGUUGGUAAGGUAACGGCUUACCAAGGCAACGAUGCAUAGCCGACCUGAGAGGGUGAUCGGCCACACUGGAACUGAGACACGGUCCAGACUCCUACGGGAGGCAGCAGUAGGGAAUCGUCCGCAAUGGGCGAAAGCCUGACGGAGCAAAGCCGCGUGAGUGAUGAAGGUCUUCGGAUCGUAAAACUCUGUUAUUAGGGAAGAACAUAUGUGUAAGUAACUGUGCACAUCUUGACGGUACCUAAUCAGAAAGCCACGGCUAACUACGUG